ensembl:lncRNA
CCAUAAUUACUACCGGGUCAAAUCUGACCCAUAACACGAAGGAUGUAACUUUUUUAAAUGCAUAAAAAAAAAAAAUCGGGUCUGGUGACAUGCAUAUGUCUUACUGUUAAUGCCCACUACAACGGAAUAAAUGUAAUUAAAAAUACGUUUUGCAGUCUUGAAUCACUUAUGACGAUCUAAACAGCGUUAGGUAUAGAGCGCCCUCUUUUGGCCUGACUAAGUAGAACAUUGAAAUAGAAUUUAGAAAACGAUCGUUUCUGAGAAAUGAUUGUUUAUUCUAUAUUUGGCGUUGUGGUGUCUGCAUUCACAACUCCAUCUUAAUUAGUUUACUUAUUUAUUUGAUGUGUGUAUUCUUGUCUAAUAGAUCUCGUUUACUGGCUUUCUAGAAGGAAUUUAAAACUAAAGUAAAGAUGCAUCUCCAGUGCAUUUGCAUAAUGGCUGCAGACAUUCCUUGAUGAGCAGGUGUUAAAUGUAAUCAAAUGUACUUUAAAUCCUGUGGACCUAUCUACAUAAGUGAUAAUGAAAGGGGGGAAAGUGACCAUCCCUGAAGUUUGUAUAGAUUGUUAGCUCAUAAUCACUAGUUGUAGAGCUAAUGAUGAGCUGUCUUAUAGUGAAAGCUCAUCAGAGUUCCUGACUCUCCAGGAACCAGGUGUACUGCUCCUAAACUUCACUGUCAGUCACAUGAGAUGGAUCAUCUCUAAUACAAGGAAGGCCUUCCUAAAUCAAUUACAGGAUGUGAUAGAAGGGAGAAAACUCUACUUCAUUGAGCUGGUGAGAUAACUAAUAUCUAUUGCCAUUCACUAUAUCCUUUUUUCUGUUGACGAUAGCCUAAAAAAAAUGACAUUGUUUAGUGUGUAAGUAAAUGCUUUGUACACAGACAUUGGAGACCGCAGGUCGCUGCCAACUCAUUGACUUUUUCCAGGAUGUCCUGGGAGAGCUCAAUGUGGAGUAAUGCCUGUCUCUCCAGACCAAUGAAAAGGUCAUGGUGGAGGGGCUGUCUCUCCUGACUGGCAGCACCGAACCGUCACCUUGGUUGAGCGGCAACGCAGAGAAACAGCCCACUACUGUCAUGUCAUUGCACUCGCUCCAGGUGAAGUUCUCCAGCCUCACCCAGGCAGAGACGCCACAGGUCAGGGAGGUCAUGGAGAGCUUCCCUGUGUUGUCAGAAAGCGAAAGGACAACGGCCUCUUCCGAAAAAGCUUUCAUGGAAAUUGACACUAAGGGUAUGGGAGCUGCCUGCACCAGCAAGACCUUUCCGAAGCAGAUCGUGGUCCUCAGCUAUGCUACUCGGCACAUUAUCUUCCUGGCGCUUUAAGUUAAUUGCAAACCAUUUCGGAAUGGACUUUCCCUGAAGGUCAUCACCCAUCCUGUGGGUCCAGGUCACGGAGGAGAAGCAGCUGGUUAAUGGACUGCUCUUCAGCAGUCCAUAGAACAAUUUCAGCUGUCCAAGAACGCCAGAGAACCUGGAGAAAAUUCUGGUGAUAGCUCUCUGAAGUCAAAGGUUGUCUACCGGUAUGUUGUUCACCUCAUAGCUCUGUGGAUCACCAGGAGGCCCUUAUUACCCAGACUAUGAUAGAGACCCACUCUCUCAGCUUUGAGUUAGAAGAUGUUGGCAUGGCUAAGAUAUUGCUCAAUGAGGAAAUACAGCAGGAGCAAGUCAAUAGCAAGCCUUCUGUCCCAGAGUUUUUAGGAGACAUUAAAACCGAAACACAGCAGUGGACAGGAAGUUGCCCAGGACAAACCCAAGAAGAUGAGGCAGAUUUGCUACUUCUUCAGAAGGCUUUUUUGUACAAGCACUCAAAGAAGGGGCUUCUGAAGCCUUACGGUCUCUCUAAGACUUACAAAAGGAUUCAAACAGCUUAAUAUUGUAUUUUUUUUCCCAUGAUUUUGAAACAUUU